rnacentral:rRNA from 1 species
UAAGGGGAAAGGUACUUUCCCUACCAAAUAGGGCGGCAAGCCUGAUGGAGCAACGCCGCGUGAGUGAAGAAGGUCUUCGGAUCGUAAAACUCUGUUGUUAGAGAAGAACAUGCGAGAGAGUAACUGUUCUUGUAUUGACGGUAUCUAACCAGAAAGCCACGGCUAACUACGUGCCAG